UACGUAGGGGGCAAGCGUUGUCCGGAAUCAUUGGGCGUAAAGGGCGCGUAGGCGGAUAGUUUAGUCAGAGGUGAAAGCCCAGGGCUCAACCUUGGAAUUGCCUUUGAUACUGGCUGUCUUGAGUUCGGGAGAGGUGAGUGGAAUGCCGAGUGUAGAGGUGAAAUUCGUAGAUAUUCGGCGGAACACCAGUGGCGAAGGCGACUCACUGGCCCGAUACCUGACGCUGAGGCGCGAAAGC
rnacentral:rRNA from 1 species